rnacentral:rRNA from 1 species
GACAGAGGAUGCAAGCGUUAUCCGGAAUGAUUGGGCGUAAAGCGUCUGUAGGUGGCUUUUUAAGUCCGCCGUCAAAUCCCAGGGCUCAACCCUGGACAGGCGGUGGAAACUACCAAGCUGGAGUACGGUAGGGGCAGAGGGAAUUUCCAGUGGAGCGGUGAAAUGCGUAGAGAUUGGAAAGAACACCGAUGGCGAAGGCACUUUACUGGGCUAUUACUAACACUCAGAGACGAAGCUAGGGUAGCAAAUGGG